rnacentral:misc_RNA from 1 species
CAGAGUUGCAAAACUCCAAACCCAUGUGAACAUACUUCGUGUUGCCUCGGCGGCGAGCGUAGUGCUCGGGAGGUGCCUACCCGGUACCUACCCUGGAGGACUUGCGCAUCCGCCGGAGGACCACUCAAACUCUUGUUUCUGUGUGGCACAUCUGAGUUAUUAUAUUCAAUAAGUCA